UGGGGAAUAUUGGGCAAUGGAGGAAACUCUGACCCAGCGACGCCGCGUGAGGGAUGAAGGCCUUCGGGUUGUAAACCUCUUUCAGUAGGGAAGAAGCGAAAGUGACGGUACCUACAGAAGAAGCACCGGCUAACUAUGUGCCAGCAGCCGCGGUAAUACAUAGGGUGCAAGCGUUGUCCGGAAUUAUUGGGCGUAAAGAGCUCGUAGGUGGUUCGAUACGUCGGAUGUGAAAAUCAGGGGCUCAACCCCUGACCUGCAUCCGAUACGGUCGAGCUAGAGUUUGGUAGGGGAGACUGGAAUUCCUGGUGUAGCGGUGGAAUGCGCAGAUAUCAGGAGGAACACCGAUGGCGAAGGCAGGUCUCUGGGCCAAUACUGACACUGAGGAGCGAAAGCGUGGGGAGCGAACA
rnacentral:rRNA from 1 species